CCUACGGGAGACAGCAGUGAGGAAUAUUGGUCAAUGGACGAGAGUCUGAACCAGCCAAGUAGCGUGAAGGAUGACUGCCCUAUGGGUUGUAAACUUCUUUUAUAUGGGAAUAAAACGUUCCACGUGUGGGAUUUUGUAUGUACCAUAUGAAUAAGGAUCGGCUAACUCCGUGCCAGCAGCCGCGGUAAUACGGAGGAUCCGAGCGUUAUCCGGAUUUAUUGGGUUUAAGGGGAGCGUAGGUGGAUUGUUAAGUCAGUUGUGAAAGUUUGCGGCUCAACCGUAAAAUUGCAGUUGAAACUGGCAGUCUUGAGUACAGUAGAGGUGGGCGGAAUUCGUGGUGUAGCGGUGAAAUGCUUAGAUAUCACGAAGAACUCCGAUUGCGAAGGCAGUUCACUGGACUGCAACUGACACUGAGGCUCGAAAGUGUGGGUAUCAAACAGGAUUAGAUACCCCUGUAGUC
rnacentral:rRNA from 1 species